rnacentral:rRNA from 1 species
ACUCAAGAAAAGAAUUUCAGUCCAACCUAAAGCCACCAAAUAUCAACCUUAACUAUCUGCUUUAGAGCAAUUCAAAUAAGGUACAGCCUAUUUGAAAAAGGACACAACCUCAACCAACGGGUAAUUACAAUACAACCUAAACUAAGUUGGCCUAAAAGCAGCCACCUUAUAUAGAGCGUCAAAGCCUAAUUUUAAUUGUACUAAAUACCUAAAUUGAUAAAAAACCCUUCAUCAUUAUUGAGUAAUUCUAUAUCUUUAUAGAAAUUUUUAUGUUAAAACUAGUAACAAGAAGACACCCUUCUCUUUUAUCCAAGUGUAAAUCAGAUCGGACACACCACUGAUCAUCAUACAGCCUACGAACAGCACCCCAUCUAGAAAAUCCUGUUCCACUUACUGUUAACCUGACACAAGAGCAUAUCAAGAAAGAUUAAAAGAAAAAGAAGGAAUUCGGCAAAUACUGAUCCCGCCUGUUUACCAAAAACAUCGCCUCUCGCAAUAAAUGAGAGGUCUAGCCUGCCCAGUGACACCUGUUCAACGGCCACGGUAUCCUAACCGUGCAAAGGUAGCGUAAUCACUUGUCUUCUAAAUAAGGACUAGUAUGAAAGGCAUCACGAGGAUCAAACUGUCUCCUUUUUCUAAUCUGUGAAACUAAUCUCCCCGUGAAGAAGCGGGGAUUUUUAUAUCAGACGAGAAGACCCUAUGGAGCUUCAGACAAGAUUAUAACUGCCCUACUACCGCUUUUGAGAAAAACCACAUAUAGCAUAUUAAUUAUCUUGUCUUAGGUUGGGGCGACCGCGGAGAAAAACCAACCCUCCGCGCUGAUAAGGACCUCCUAAGUAAAGAGCUACAGCUCAAAACAUCAACACAUUGACAUCAUUGACCCAAUUACUUGAUCAACGAAAUAAGUUACCCUAGGGAUAACAGCGCAAUCCACUUUGAGAGCCCUUAUCAACAAGUGGGUUUACGACCUCGAUGUUGGAUCAGGGUAUCCAAGUGGUGCAGCCGCUACUAAAGGUUCGUUUGUUCAACGAUUAAAACCCUACGUGAUCUGAGU